UUGUGUUUUGAAGUGUGAAAUGCAAAGUAAUUGUGAUAGUUAAAUGCAAGAUAAAGUUCACUUUUAAACUGAACUAAAUAAGGUAUCUGAGAGACAACAAUGGUUAAAUGCAAUACAAUGUACAGGUUUUACUAGCGAAAUGAAAAUUUUCCUGUCCUGUCUGCUGUAAUCAUUUUAUAUCUGGAAAACCAGCCGACUUAAUCGAUAAUAACAAUCUCCAGAUUGGGUUCCUUCAAUAAAUAUGGGCUAUAAACAAUGAAAUAAGUUCCCCAAAAUCUAAAAUGGAGUGCUAUCAAAGGAGAAUUAAAGGAAAAAA
rnacentral:lncRNA from 1 species